rnacentral:rRNA from 1 species
GGCGAACGCUGGCGGCGUGCUUAACACAUGCCAGUCGAACGGAAAGGCCCUGCUUUUGUGGGGUGCUCGAGUGGCGAACGGGUGAGUAACACGUGAGUAACCUGCCCUUGACUUUGGGAUAACUUCAGGAAACUGGGGCUAAUACCGGAUAGGAGCUCCUGCUGCAUGGUGGGGGUUGGAAAGUUUCGGCGGUUGGGGAUGGACUCGCGGCUUAUCAGCUUGUUGGUGGGGUAGUGGCUUACCAAGGCUUUGACGGGUAGCCGGCCUGAGAGGGUGACCGGCCACAUUGGGACUGAGAUACGGCCCAGACUCCUACGGGAGGCAGCAGUGGGGAAUAUUGCACAAUGGGCGGAAGCCUGAUGCAGCAACGCCGCGUGCGGGAUGACGGCCUUCGGGUUGUAAACCGCUUUCGCAUGUGACGAAGCGUGAGUGACGGUAAUGGGUAAAGAAGCACCGGCUAACUACGUG